UACGUAGGGUGCAAGCGUUAAUCGGAAUUACUGGGCGUAAAGCGUGCGCAGGCGGCUUUGCAAGACAGAUGUGAAAUCCCCGGGCUUAACCUGGGAACUGCAUUGUGACUGCAUGGCUGGAGUGCGGCAGAGGGGAUGGAAUUCCGCGUGUAGCAGUGAAAUGCGUAGAUAUGCGGAGGAACACCGAUGGCGAAGGCAAUCCCCUGGGCCUGCACUGACGCUCAUGCACGAAAGCGUGGGGAGCAAACAGG
rnacentral:rRNA from 1 species